rnacentral:rRNA from 1 species
UACGUAGGGUGCGAGCGUUAAUCGGAAUUACUGGGCGUAAAGCGUGCGCAGGCGGUUUUGUAAGCCAGAUGUGAAAGCCCCGGGCUCAACCUGGGAAUGGCAUUUGGGACUGCAAGGCUUGAGUGCGGCAGAGGAAACUGGAAUUCCUGGUGUAGCAGUGAAAUGCGUAGAUAUCAGGAGGAAUACCGAUGGCGAAGGCAGGUCUCUGGGCUGACACUGACGCUGAGGCACGAAAGCGUGGGGAGCAAACAGG